rnacentral:lncRNA from 1 species
CCAGCAACAUUAAUACCUAACUUUAGCAUUUGCUACAUGCCAGGCACUGUUUUAAGUCCUUGCAUGGAUCACUCUUGAACCCCUGCAACCACGUGAAUGAGGCACUGUUAUCAUCCUUGCUUUUACAGAGGAGAAAAUAGAGAUGCCCGCGUCCCUUGCCUGGGCAGGUUCCUCUCUCUGGGAAAAACGGUCCCCACCAACCAGAAGCGGUUUUCUAAACAUGAAAGUGCAGUAUCAUCUCACCAAGAGGAAGACCAUGGCCUCUUCCCCUUGGGUGAACCAAGCUGUCAGCCCCAGCUUCUGGAAGGAUCCAGAAGAGUCCGGGCCCCCAACCUAUGCCAAAACCGAGGAGCAGAGAGAGGAGGCUCCUUGCCCCGGGUCAUACCGCCAGCAGGAGGUGAUACAAACCCAGGCAGUCUGGUUCCAGAGACUGGGCACUCCAUUGCACAGACGGAAGCUGAAGCCCUCUGCCCACGGGCACUGUGGGAGGCAGAAUAACAGCCCUCCAAAGAUGUGCACGUCCCAAUCUCCAGGACCUGUGAUGAUGGCACCUUGCAAGGCAAAAGGGACUUUGCAAUGUGAUUAAAUUAAGGACCCUGGAUUACCUGGGUGAGCCCAAUAUAAUCAUAGGAUCCUUCUACGUGAAAGAGGUGGUCACCAUCAGAGUCAGGGAAGGGGGUGUGGUGACAGAAGCAGAGCUGCAGUGAUGCACUCUGCGGAUGGAGGAAGGGGCCACGAGCCAAGGGAUGCAGGCGCCUCCAGAAGCUGGAAAAGGCACAGGCAUGGAUCCUCCCCUGGAGCCUCCAGAAGGAGCACCUCGAUUCAGCCCGCAAGACCCAUCUUGAACUUCUGACCUCCAGGCCUGGAAGCUAAUAAAUAUUAGCCCUGAGCUAACUACUGCCAGUCCUCCUCUUUUUGCUGAGGAAGACUGGCCCUGAGCUGACAUCCGUGCCCAUCUUCCUCUACUUUAUAUGUGGGCCACCUACCACAGCAUGGCUUGCCAAGCGGUGCCAUGUCCACACCCAGGAUCCGAACCGGCGAACCCCAGGAAUCCCGGGCUGCUGAGAAGUGGAACGUGCGAACUUAACCACUGCGCCACCAGGCCGGCCCUCUCAUCUUUACUCUUAAGGAAGC